CUGUGGAAGAGACCGAUCUUGCAACAGGCCUGAGGGCGCAGGGGUUAGUUUCUGAAGCCGGAGAAUCAACGCUGGGUCCUUCCCUAACACUGAAAUACGUUCCAGAUGGGUUAAAGGGGUCCGUGUGGCAGAUGACAAGGCGAAGGGCUCUGAAGGAAGUGUGGGUGAGGACGUUUACACGCUGGGGGUGAGAAGGCUUCUCUGCUGCAGGACGCGAGCCAGCAAGCAGGAGGGAGCCCUCACCUCACCUCGGGGAGGCCUGUGGCUCCCACCAGAGGUGCUAUACGUGGGCAACCUUGGUGGCUCUGAAGGUCACCUCCAGAGGGGAACAGAAGAAUCUCUGUAAUUCCCAGCAACGCAGCCCUUCCUGCGCCCCCCCGGGCUCUGGGCCUCCAGCAGCCCUGCGAUGAGCCCCCGCGGAGCCUGCCUCCCCCCGACAGGGGACCCAGAUUCAAAGAAGUUAAGCAACCGAGAGCUUGGGUCCGUUAAGUACAAAAAUAACAACCGUAUUCUUAGAAGGAUCAUCUACUUACAACAAAAGAAGUCAAAUGGCAAACAAAUCUGAGGCAGAAAAAGGUUACAAUCCACGUCCAUCCAGGACACGGACAUUCAGAUGGCGGCCCGGCACGGACAGGUGUCAGACCAUCUUCUAGAACUACCUGCCGGGGUGCAGACACCCCUCCGUGUAGCCAUCCAUGCAGCCAUCUGUCCAGACAGACGGAAGGUUGAACCCGAGUCCUCAUCCAUGUCCCCACCUGCAGUCCAGCACCUCACGGGUCGGUC
rnacentral:lncRNA from 1 species